rnacentral:piRNA from 1 species
UGUGACGCGCCUUAGUGGGCACACGUGCUA